AGCUCCCUGUGUCCCUGUUGCAUCUAUGCCCGGAAUCCUCUUAGCGCGCACAGAUCAUUCUCCGGAGCGUCCUUCGCAGCUGGCUGUGCCCUGCCAGGAUUAUCAGGGGGCUCAUCCCCAAGAAGAGCGAGGCGCAGAAAUUUGCAGCCUGAAGCAGGAAGGGUGCGGCGGGCCAGCUGGUGAAGCUGUGGUAGCCGACUGCCAGCGUGUUGGUCCCCCAGCAGCCCACAAACAGAAUGACCAGGGCCAGGAUGACCUUGGCAGCUCUCCGCUCAGAGGCAAACCUGGCCACCCCAUUCUCGGCCCCCAUGGCUCUCAUGUGCCCCUUCAGUUUGUGCAAGGUGUACACAUUGGCGCCCAGCAUCAGGACUACGGGCACAGUUUCCUGGAUGACUAAGGAAGCCGUGACAUAGGCCAUCCCGCUCUGCUGGGAAGGGAAAGCCCAUGUACAGCCCAGCAAAGGCCUGGUGGUACUGCUCACUAGCAUCGGGGAGAGAGUGAUAUUCCCAGCCACGUGGCUGGAAUACACCAAGGCAGGAAGAGAAUACAACACAUUCGCCAUCCAGAGGGCAGAUACAGCGAUAGCUGCGUCCCUGGCCCUUCUGGCUUCCCUAGCCCCUAGGGGAUGCUGCUUCCUCAUGGUACGGCAAUGGAAGAUGCUCAGGCAGGAAGUGGCCCAGGUGCUCAUAGUUCUCAAGAGCACCCAGGUGAACAUGAAGACCCUACACCAAGUGGCAGACAAGGAGAGCUGUAGCCCCAGGUCAGCUGCGAAGAUCAGCGUGUUCCGCAGCGCUGUGAGAAGGAGGUUGAUGGUGGAGAGGUUGGCCAGGAGAAGGUCAGAGGCAGCCAUGGUGCCAUGCUUCACAGUCAUGGCAAGGACCGUUAGGAGAACCAGGCUAUUACCCAGCAGGCAGAGAAGGACCAGAGCACCAUACAGAGUCACCUGCACCACACAGCCCUGAGACCGCACAUCCGGUGUCAUUGCUCUGGCGUGCCCCGAAAGCCCUGUGAAAGCAACACAAGGCAGGCCUGUUAUAUCCAAGUGCCCGUGCCAGCCUGGGAAACCCACCUCCUCCCAGAGCCGGGGCACCUUGGCUGUGCAGGCAUCCAGAGAUGAUCCCGUCAUCCUGCCGCCAACCUGUUCUGCUUCUCUGGGAUCAAGACAGGGGCUUCACCUUCAACCCACGUUAACGGAGACUCCCAGCAAGGGACCAGUUGGGUUGGUUUUUUGAUGUGGAUGUUAUUUCUGGGAACUAGCCCAGGACACACACGGCCAAACUCGUUACACCUGGGCCACUGAAUAACCAGAGCAAGGCAGCAGCUUUUGGUCACUACUGUCCUAGAGCAGAUCCAGAACAGUGGUGCCACAACUACUCCUGUUCUCUUUGCUUGCUGUGAAAGGCUCUGGUACCCUACCACCAAUUCUCAAAUCCCAGGAAUGUAGAUUCCACUUGGAUAAAGGACCUAAGUGACAGCUCAUUAUUCACUGUCUCAGAUCCACUCACCUGUGUGUUGGGGUCCUAGAACCUGCACAGAAAAGCAAAGGCCCCUCUCCUUCAGUACUUACCAUCCUUCCAAUUCCUCUCUUCUCUGGUCCGCUCGCUUGUUUGUGUGAAUUGGUACUUUUGCUGACUCCACUAGUUUUCCACUCAUUUCAUCUGCUCAUCAGAUGCUUAGCAACUAAACAAGCAUUUAUACAACCCACUGAUUCACCAAAUGGCUACAGCUGGGACUUUAAAGGCCUGUGACUCCAGAUUGAUCCUCCUCCCUUGCUAGAAUGAGACAGAAUAGGCCUACAAAGAAUUGCAUUGUCUUUCUGUAACACUGGGAGGAGAGUAGUAAAAGCCAAUAGGUGGGAAGGCGUUUGCCAAUCUAAUAUAGUUUCACCUCUCGGCUGGUGAUCUUGGAGAAGUUAAAACCAUUGAUCCUCCCAGUGUCCCCUCUGAAGCAGGUAGUUGCCUGGAACAUGAGAGAGGCAGCAGGAUUCCAAAUCUGGCAGAGCUCCAAAUGAACCAUUCUUGUGGGUUCCACUACAUGGCUGAGAAAGCCAUCUGACUGCUGGUGUUGGUUUGCAGAUUUCGGAUGGAAACCUCACUAACCCUCACUUCCUUGCAAGUCAUUGGGAUGUUUCUGGAGUAAGUGGAUUAUUUGCUGUUUAGGCUACAAUUACCCUAAAGGACUCUCUAGUGGUAUUUUGGUACCUUCUGGACUCGGGUCAGAACUGGAAGUCCAAGAGGGGGUGACAGGAAAAGCAAG